GGCUUCGUAGUCAAACGAUAACGACAUUUGCUUCUCACGCUGGAGUUCCGGGUUCGAUCCUCGGUCGCGGGGCUG